AUUUCAUAACACGUACUCUCUUAAAAACAAGCACAGAAGCUUCUCUACUUAUAACCUUUCAAUUCAUAAACUUCCAUAGUUUCUUAUUAUAAAGCUCUGAAUAGUCCAAGGUGAUAUCUGGGUGGUAGCUAUGUUGUACAUGCUCCACAGGUGAUUCUGAUUUGCAGUCAAUAUUGAGAGACAGGCUGGGUGCGGUAGCUCAUGCCUAUCAUCCCGACACUUUGGGAGGCUGAGGCCAGGAGGGUCACUUGAGGCCAGAAGUUCAAGACCAGCCUGGUCAACCUAGUGAGACUCCCCGUCUCUUAAAAUAUAUAUAUAUUGAGAGACAUUGCAAUAGGUGCUCAAUAAACAUUUAGAUGGAUGACUAUGGAUGAAUAGAUGGGUGGAUCACUGGACAAGGUAGAGCAGGGGUUCUCAACCUUGGUACCAUGGACAUUUUAGGCCAAAUAAUUAUUUGUUGUUGGGGUAGGGGUGCUGUUCUAUGUGUUAAAUGGGAGGUUUAGCAGCAUCUCUGGCCUUUACCCACUAGAUGCCAGUAGCAUCCCCCAAACCCCCUACUGUCCAUUAUGACAGCCAAAAAUAUCUCUACACGUUUCCAAAUAUCCCCAGGGAGCAAAAUUGCCCCGAUUGAGAACCACUUGGAUAGAUUAAUGAAGAGGUAAACAGAUCAAUGGAUGAAUGGACGGACAGGUGGUUGGAUAGAAGGAUCGAUGGAUGGAUGGCUGAAUGGAUGGAUUAUAUAGGUUGAUGGAUUGAUGAAUGGUGGUUGGAUGGGGUAGAUUAGUGUUGAGUUGAUGAAUGAGUGGGUGGAAAAAUAGAUGAAUGGCUACGUGGAUGAGCGAGUGGGCAAGUGGAUGAGUGAGUGGAAGGGUGGAUGGAUGAAAGAUCAGGCCUCGGCCAGGCGGGGGGGCUCUGGCCUUUCAUUGUCUUUCGAGUUAUUUUCAGUCCAGUAAAUUGUAGAUAAUGGAUAGAAAUGCAAAUGUAAUUGCCCCUAGACUUCAAAUUCUCUUUCCCCACCCAACCCCUUUUUAAAAAAGGCCAGUUUUACAUCUAUUUGUAAAUUCAUUUCAGCAUUCCUGACCUAUAUAAGUAUGGUACUUUAUUAUUUUUUAAUUUUUAAAAUUGAUAUCUAGUAGUUGUAUGUAUUUUGUGGUAUAUGUGAUAUUUUGAUACAUGUAUACAAUGUAUAAUGAUCAAAUCAGGAUAAUUGGGAUAUUCAUUACCUCUAACAUUUAUCAUGUAAGUGUGGUACUUUAUAUUCUCCUUUGAACUUGUAAAAUCUUACUGGUUCCCUCAUUAAUUAAUGAGUUAAAUAAAAUUAUUGGCUGGGCGCUGGUGGCUCAUGCCUGUAAUCCCAGCGCUUUGGGAGGCCGAAGUGGGAGGAUUACUUGAGGUCAGGAGUUCAAGACCAGUCUGGCCAACAUGGUGAAACUCCGUCUCUACUAAAAAUACAAAAAUUAGCUGGGUGGGAUGGUGGCCACCUGUAAUUCCAGCUACUCUGGAGGCUGAGGCAGGAGAAUCACUUGAACCUGGGAGACGGAGAUUGCAGUGAGCUGAGAUGGCACCACU
rnacentral:lncRNA from 1 species